UUAAGUUCAGCGGGUAUCCCUACCUGAUCCGAGGUCAAAGUAAAAAAGAGGCUUAAUGGAAGGGGGCAGGCUAGAAUCAAAACGCAAUGUGCUGCGCACGAAACCAACAUACCGGCUGCCAAUGAAUUUAAGGCCAGUCCACGCACAAAGACGCGAACAAGACCCAACACCAAGCAUAGCUUGAAGGUUUAAAUGACGCU
rnacentral:misc_RNA from 1 species